UGGGGAAUUUUGGACAAUGGGCGCAAGCCUGAUCCAGCCAUGCCGCGUGAGUGAAGAAGGCCUUCGGGUUGUAAAGCUCUUUCGGCGGGGACGAAACGGUUCGUGACAACACCACGGACUAAUGACGGUACCCGCAUAAGAAGCACCGGCUAACUACGUGCCAGCAGCCGCGGUAAUACGUAGGGUGCAGGCGUUAAUCGGAAUUACUGGGCGUAAAGCGUGCGCAGGCGGUUAUAUAAGACAGAUGUGAAAUCCCGGGCUCAACCUGGGAACUGCAUUUGUGACUGUAUAGCUAGAGUACGGCAGAGGGGGAUGGAAUUCCGCGUGUAGCAGUGAAAUGCGUAGAUAUGCGGAGGAACACCGAUGGCGAAGGCAAUCCCCUGGGCCUGUACUGACGCUCAUGCACGAAAGCGUGGGGAGCAAACAGGAUUAGAUACCCAAGUAGUCCCUGAGCGGGC
rnacentral:rRNA from 1 species